rnacentral:rRNA from 1 species
CACCAGACUCCUACGGGAGGCAGCAGUGGGGGAUAUUGCACAAUGGGGGAAACCCUGAUGCAGCGACGCCGCGUGGGUGAAGAAGUAUUUCGGUAUGUAAAGCCCUAUCAGCAGGGAAGAAAGAAGACGGUACCUGACUAAGAAGCCCCGGCUAACUACGUGCCAGCAGCCGCGGUAAUACGUAGGGGGCGAGCGUUAUCCGGAUUCACUGGGUGUAAAGGGAGCGUAGACGGCCGUGCAAGCCAGGAGUGAAAGGCCGGGGCCCAACCCCGGGACUGCUCUUGGAACUGUGCGGCUGGAGUGCGGGAGGGGGAGGCGGAAUUCCUGGUGUAGCGGUGAAAUGCGUAGAUAUCAGGAGGAACACCGGCGGCGAAGGCGGCCUGCUGGACUGCAACUGACGUUGAGGCCCGAAAGCGUGGGGAGCAAACAGGAUUAGAUACCCCGGUAAUG